rnacentral:rRNA from 1 species
AUUGAACGCUGGCGGCAGGCCUAACACAUGCAAGUCGAACGAGUGGCGGACGUGUGAGUAAUGUCUGGAAAACUGCCUGAUGGAGGGGGAUAACUACUGAAAAAGGUAGCUACUACCGCAUACCCUCGGAUGUUGCCAGCUGGGAUUAGCUAGUUGUUGGGGUAACGGCUCACCGACGCGACGAUCCCUAGCUGGGCUGAGAGGAUGACCAGACACACUGGAACUGAGAAACGGUACAGACUCCUACGGGAGGCAGCAGUGGGGAAGAUUGCAAAAUGGGCGAAAGCCUGAUGCAGCCAUGCCGCGUGUAUGAAGAAGGCCUGAGGGGUGUAAAGUACUUUCAGCGGGGAGGCGUUACCCGGAGAAGAAGCACCGGCUAACUACGUGCCAGCAGCCGCGGUAAUUC